rnacentral:tRNA from 1 species
GCUAAUUUAGCGUAGCGGUAACGCGUUGGGCUUCAAGCUGGAUUAAGCAUCGUGAGUUCGAAUCCCGCUGUCGGCG